CCGCCCGCCCGCUGGCCGCUGGCCGCUGGGGCUACGCGCAGAGCGCGGGCUGAGCCGACAUAGAGGAAGCGGCGAGGGCGGCGGCGGCCGCGGAGGAGGAGGUCGCGGCUGCAGACGCUGCUGGAGGAGCUGGCCGCCGCUGCGUGCUCCGCUGGAGGAGCCCGGGCCCGGGCGGGAGUCCGAGCCGGAGUCGGGGCCGCAGCCCGAGAGCGAGCCGAGGCCGGUGCUGCCCGUGCCGCCGCCGCUGUCCUGGCGGGAGCCCUCGCCCGGUUUCAAGAGUGCGGGGAGCUGGGAGAGUCGAGCAGGAUCGGGACGAAGCUGCCGGCGAGGAUCAGGGCGCUCGGGUGUCUGGGGGCCAGGUCCAGGGCCGGACGCAGCCAGCCAUUCAGGAAGGCAGCGCUGGAGAGCGGGAGGCAGCCGGCGAGGAAGAUCACACACUUUGCUCUUUUUGUUGUGCGGGUGGCGCCGGGUUCUCUCUGCCUUCUUCUUUCGGGAGGUGACGGAAGGGGGAGAAAAAUACGAGAUAAUUCACGCCAGCGACGAAUUCACAGCGAAAUAGGAAAAAAAUAAAAAUCAGAAGAAAAUGCUUGAGAAAAUAAGGAAAAAGAGAAAGCGAGAGAGACAUCCAAAGUAGGUCGAAUAAAUAAUCCUCUUCUUUUCCUCUUUCUUGCUUCUUCUGCUUCUUCUGCUAUAACACACAGAGCUAGUUAAAAAACCCUGGAGAUCGCCCAAAAAUGUUCUUUUUUUAGUAUUUUAAAUAAGUGCUCUUCAGCUGGGAACCAACACCCUCCCUCCAAAAAAAAUCAUAUAUAUAUAUAUAUAUAUACAUACAUAUAUAUAUAUAAUAACGAUAAGAAGAAUACUGAGGGGUGCCUCCUCCUCCUUUUUUUUUCAAGUUUAGUCUUCUCUCUUCUAGAGGAAAGGAGUGAAAGAGAAAAGGAGGGAGAGAAAGAGGAAGGGCGACAACUAGUAGAAUAUGUAAGGAAAAGAAAGGGGGAGAGAUAGGGCAAGAGGAGAGUGGGUGAGAGAAAGGAGAGGAGGGAGAGAGGGAGGAGAGGAGAGGAGAGGAGAGGGACCAAAAAAUUGAAUGCGUUUAAACGGGAGGACACUCAGAGCAAUGUUUCCGAAAGGGGGAUCUGCGCACUACUAUUGAAACUGACACGUUUCUAUGGAGAUCUCUGCCUUAUAUGGAGCUCGUGUCAAGGAGCCAAGAGAAGGGCUGCUGGCAACUGAUAAUCAAAGGCGACUGACUGGUCAGAGCCCUGAAUG
rnacentral:lncRNA from 1 species